UAGGGAAUCUUCGGCAAUGGACGGAAGUCUGACCGAGCAACGCCGCGUGAGUGAAGAAGGUUUUCGGAUCGUAAAGCUCUGUUGUAAGAGAAGAACGAGUGUGAGAGUGGAAAGUUCACACUGUGACGGUAUCUUACCAGAAAGGGACGGCUAACUACGUGCCAGCAGCCGCGGUAAUACGUAGGUCCCGAGCGUUAUCCGGAUUUAUUGGGCGUAAAGCGAGCGCAGGCGGUUAGAUAAGUCUGAAGUUAAAGGCUGUGGCUUAACCAUAGUACGCUUUGGAAACUGUUUAACUUGAGUGCGGAAGGGGAGAGUGGAAUUCCAUGUGUAGCGGUGAAAUGCGUAGAUAUAUGGAGGAACACCGGUGGCGAAAGCGGCUCUCUGGUCUGUAACUGACGCUGAGGCUCGAAAGCGUGGGGAGCAAACAGGAUUAGAUACCCUGGUAGUCCACGCCGUAACGAUGAGUGCUAGGUGUUGGGUCCUUUCCGGGACUCAGUGCCGCAGCUAACGCAUUAAGCACUCCGCCUGGGGAGUACGACCGCAAGGUU
rnacentral:rRNA from 1 species